rnacentral:rRNA from 1 species
GAUGAACGCUGGCGGCGUGCCUAAUACAUGCAAGUCGAGCGAAGAGACGAGGAGCUUGCUCCUCUGACGUUAGCGGCGGACGGGUGAGUAACACGUGGAUAACCUACCUAUAAGACUGGGAUAACUUCGGGAAACCGGAGCUAAUACCGGAUAAUAUAUUGAACCGCAUGGUUCAAUAGUGAAAGACGGUUUUGCUGUCACUUAUAGAUGGAUCCGCGCCGCAUUAGCUAGUUGGUAAGGUAACGGCUUACCAAGGCAACGAUGCGUAGCCGACCUGAGAGGGUGAUCGGCCACACUGGAACUGAGACACGGUCCAGACUCCUACGGGAGGCAGCAGUAGGGAAUCUUCCGCAAUGGGCGAAAGCCUGACGGAGCAACGCCGCGUGAGUGAUGAAGGUCUUCGGAUCGUAAAACUCUGUUAUUAGGGAAGAACAAAUGUGUAAGUAACUAUGCACGUCUUGACGGUACCUAAUCAGAAAGCCACGGCUAACUACGUG